rnacentral:rRNA from 1 species
GACGUUAGCUAAACUCCGAAUGCCGGUAAGUGAGAGUGUAGCAGUGAGACAGUGGGGGAUAAGCUUCAUUGUCGAGAGGGAAACAGCCCAGACCAUCAACUAAGGCCCCUAAGCGUGUGCUAAGUGGGAAAGGAUGUGGAGUUGCUGAGACAACCAGGAGGUUGGCUUAGAAGCAGCCAUCCUUGAAAGAGUGCGUAAUAGCUCACUGGUCAAGUGAUUCUGCGCCGAUAAUGUAGCGGGGCUCAAGUACACCGCCGAAGUUGUGGCAAUCAGCUUUUUGUGGCUGGUUGGGUAGGGGAGCGUCCUGCACGAGGUGAAGCUGCCACGGGAGUGUGUGGUGGAUUGUGUGGGAGUGAGAAUGCAGGCAUGAGUAGCGAAUCACGGGUGAGAAACCCGUGCGCCGGAUGAUCAAGGGUUCCAGGGUCAAGUU